rnacentral:lncRNA from 1 species
CCAACACAGGCUGAAAUAUUUUACAAGACAUAGCCAGAUCUUUGCAAUUGAAAGUUUCUUGUUUUUUUUUAUAACAUGCCAUAUAUUCUUUUGUUUGUCAGCAUGUGAAAUUCAGUCUGAGACCUACUUUUGCCUCUAGGAAUGAGAAGAUCAAUUGUGUCACCCUCACCCAAGUUAUAAUGUGGUUGAUUUCAUCCAUUAGAAUUUUGUAAUUUGGGGUGGUCUCUCAUUCUGUAUUUUUUUUUUAAAGUUGAGUUUUUAGUUUAGGGAAAAAAGGGAGACUCGUUUGGAUUCUCAUUUGUAUAUACACAGGGAAAAAAUGACUUGUGUAAUCACAGGACAAUUUUUAAAUGACAUAUUCCUUUUCUCAUUCUGAAGUAUUUCAACAUAAAUGAGAAUAUCAGAUGAGUUAGUGCACAUGUGAAACAGCUUCGAAGGAGACCUAUGCAAAAGUGAGAACUGUCACAUAUAUCAGUGUGUCCAUACAGUAGCAUGGCACGGUCCCUGUCCUUAUCAAGCAGAACACUUUGCUGUGUUAUACAGAGAUACCUUAGAGAAACCAAAUCAGGUUCUUUAGAAAAAUCAGCUUACUUUUACAGUGCAGAGGGAGGCUAACACUGAUUUUUCUUGCAUCAACCGGACAAUUUUUUUUUUUUUUGAGAAAACAACAGGGUCAGAGUGCAGAGAUGUAAAGAAGAAGGAAGAAUUUGAAUAGAUCUUACCUUAAAGAGUAUGAAAUAUUUUGCCUAUUUUUGGCACUAGGAAAAAUGUAUGAGGUGAAAUCAAUUUCUAUAUUUAUUUUCCUGAUGGUGCUCAGGAGUCUUGUCUCCCAAAGGAAAAUAUGUGUUUUAUAACCACCACCAAGUGAUCCUUUCCAGAAAUGACCACAGGUAACAUCUGGCUGAUAUAUGAAAUAUGUAGUAAAAAUAAUCAUUUUUAAUUAACUAAAACCUGCUCAGGAGAGAGAGUAGAGGAAUAUCCAUCUGGUCAAUUCUUAUUUAAUAGGGCAAAGGAGGAUCAGAAUGUUCAAUCCAAUAUAUGGUGAAAUACUCAGUGACCUUAUAAUGAACUAAAACUUUUUAAGGGCGGG